rnacentral:lncRNA from 1 species
CUAAGACGGCCCACAACAACAACUCCAGCCGCUUCGGCAAGUUCAUCCAGGUCAACUACCAGGAGAGUGGCACGGUCAGAGGAGCCUAUGUGGAGAAGUACCUGCUGGAGAAAUCCCGUCUGGUUUACCAAGAGCACAAUGAGAGGAACUACCAUGUUUUCUACUACCUGUUGGCCGGAGCCAGUGAAGAAGAGAGGAAGUCCUUCCACCUGCUCAAACCUGAGGAAUACCACUACCUCAACCAGGACUGCUUCACAGUGGAAGGAGAAGAUCUGAAACAUGACU